rnacentral:rRNA from 1 species
GAUGAACGCUGGCGGCGUGCCUAAUACAUGCAAGUCGAGCGAACAGACGAGGAGCUUGCUCCUCUGACGUUAGCGGCGGACGGGUGAGUAACACGUGGAUAACCUACCUAUAAGACUGGGAUAACUUCGGGAAACCGGAGCUAAUACCGGAUAAUAUAUUUAACCGCAUGGUUCAAUAGUGAAAGACGGUUUUGCUGUCACUUAUAGAUGGAUCCGCGCCGCAUUAGCUAGUUGGUAAGGUAACGGCUUACCAAGGCGACGAUGCGUAGCCGACCUGAGAGGGUGAUCGGCCACACUGGAAGUGAGACACGGUCCAGACUCCUACGGGAGGCAGCAGUAGAGAAUCUGCCGCAAUGGGCGAAAGCCUGACGGAGCAACGCCGCGUGAGUGAUGAAGGUCUUCGGAUCGUAAAACUCUGUUAUUAGGGAAGAACAAAUGUGUAAGUAACUAUGCACGUCUUGACGGUACCUAAUCAGAAAGCCACGGCUAACUACGUG